rnacentral:rRNA from 1 species
GACGAACGCUGGCGGCGUGCCUAAUACAUGCAAGUCGAGCGGACGGAUGGGAGCUUGCUCCCAGACCGUCAGCGGCGGACGGGUGAGUAACACGUGGGCAACCUGCCUGUAAGACUGGGAUAACUCCGGGAAACCGGGGCUAAUACCGGAUAACUCUUUCCCUCACAUGAGGGAAAGCUGAAAGAUGGCAUCUCGCUAUCACUUACAGAUGGGCCCGCGGCGCAUUAGCUAGUUGGUGAGGUAACGGCUCACCAAGGCGACGAUGCGUAGCCGACCUGAGAGGGUGAUCGGCCACACUGGGACUGAGACACGGCCCAGACUCCUACGGGAGGCAGCAGUAGGGAAUCUUCCGCAAUGGACGAAAGUCUGACGGAGCAACGCCGCGUGAGUGAUGAAGGUUUUCGGAUCGUAAAACUCUGUUGUCAGGGAAGAACAAGUACCGGAGUAACUGCCGGUACCUUGACGGUACCUGACCAGAAAGCCGCGGCUAACUACGUG